rnacentral:lncRNA from 1 species
GACAACAGGUCUUUGUGAACAGUUACUGUCUAGCUGAAUGGGAUUGUUACACUGUAUUCACACACGCUAUCUUACCUGUCAUAGUCUUCGGGAGUUUCCUGUGGCGAUCGGUUAAACACCACGACCUUGUAGGUGAGCAGCAUCCCCAGGAUCGCCAUUCCAGUAAGAAAUAUUAAAAAUCUCUGUAGGAUCUUUGAUUUCGCAAGGAGGCAUAUGUCCAAAUUUGCUCUUUGUUGCAGGGUUCCUCUCCCUUUAAUUGCCAUGGUGCUCCCUGCUUCCUAGCUCUCUGGAUGGGACACUUCUUCCAAGACGCACAGACUUUGGACCUUCUCUUGCCAGCCCUUAUCGUAGCUGAAUAUUGUUUUGUAGGUAAUUAUGUUCCAGCUAGUGCUGUACGUUAUGUUUGUGUGUAAUUAAAGCAGAUCCCUGUUCCUGCUGAAUAUAAGGUGAAUUUGCAGAGUGACACCCAAAGCUGUUUGUGAAUCAUGUGCCAGUGUGAGCCGUGUGUGUUUGGGUGCUAUUGCCAUGGGAAUCAGUGCUGGCAUAGAGUUUGUUGAUAGCGCUGGCAUUUCCUAGUGCAAAAGUGUAUAGCUGAGUGUGAAAAAGUCCUGCAAACUUUUUCCAUUCUCUUAAAUUUGCUUCCAGUGAUCUGUUUCCCUACUACGUGUUUGAACAAGCAGGCGAUAGCUUAUCAGUGUGUGAAUGCCUUUUUUUGUGUGUCUGUGUCUGUGUUUGUAAGAUUCUAAUUCUGAUCUCGCUAUGUAUGUGCGUGUGAGAUCACAGAGUAUGUGUACAAGGGGCAGAGUUAGUAACUAUGUUUGGACACAGCUAGGCGGUCAUGUAGUAAAGCAGUUUAUUUUGGGGCUGGCUGUAACAAUUCUACUUCUUAUUCAACAGAUUAACCAUUUCCUCCUCCUUGCUGACAAGCUUUUUGCUACGACAGAAACAAUUGCUUUAAAAGACCGUUUGCUUGGUUUUUUUUAAUACAG